GCCAGCCCUUUCCCUGGGACCUUGUCAGUGAAAUCGCUCAGGAGUGGAGAAAAUUGGAGAGGCCCUCCAUCAUCAGGGACAUCCUCCAGCCAGCUCACCCUUCUCUGGUGGCGAUGGACGGCCAUGGAUGCAAGUGACCACCCCUUAUUUGUCUGUGCUCGUGUGGGGCACCUGCCGCUCAGAAGAAACCCUGUGGCGGAGGAAGACUGUAUCACCCCGAUUUACAGAUGAGGGAUCUCACCCAAGCGCAGAGCCCACCCUGCCCAAAGCCUUAGGCAAGAGAGGGGCAGAGUCAGGACCAGACCACAUUUCUUGACGCUGAGACCUCCCCACACCCGUCUCAGAUUCCAGGCCCUGGUUCCCAGGACUUGGCUGCCAGACGGUUUGCCAACCCCUGCCAUCUUUUUACUUAAAAACUGACUUAUGAACAUGGUGCCAAAGAAACACCAGAUGGGUUACCUUUAAUAUCACAGAUGGACUCAGUGAUUGACCAGAGCCCGUUCAUGGUGGGUCCAGCAGACAGCACGUGCUUUGUCAUAUAACACAAGGUGAAGAACACAACCUUGUCUGUAUCCCAGGCAAACAAAUAUUUAACAGGACUUCAUCAGGACUUUUGAUCUGAAGUCCUGUUUAUGCACAGAGGAACAAGCUUAAAAAAAAAUGCCAAAAGGAAGCAACAAGUGUCAAAAGUGGAACAUUCUGCAGAACAGUGGCCUGAUCUCUUCAACAAGUCAGGAUGUGAAAAAGGGGAUUUUGUUGGGUUCAAAGGGAUGGAAGAGACAUGACCAGGUGCAAUGAUGCAUGAGUGGGAAAUCGGUGCAAGAAAGGUCCUGGACUCCCGGGAAAAUUUGAAGAAGGAGUACUUAAUCCAACAAUUGGAUGAAAGGAAAAUAUUGACAUGGAAUGCUGAUCUAAUUAACUGAAAAAAGCAAGUUCCAAUCAAAAUCCUAUACGCAGUGAGAUCUCAUUUGGCUAAAAUACAUGUAUUGAUAUGUAUAAAAAACAUCUGGAAAGUGCUAGCAGUAGGGAGGACAAUGUGAUGUUUAUAUUUUCUUAUUUUUGCUUGUCGGUAUCACCUUAUUUUCUAUGCUACGCUUCUGUUUGUAGGAAUAAAAUGUUAUUUUAAGAAUUACAUAAAAGCCAACGUUCUUAACCCACCAUCCAAGGCUUUUUCCUAUUACCCCUCGUCCUGCACUUCUUCAACCUGCUCUUCCAUUCACCUCCAGGCCCAGACUGUCUGCUCAUUGCCCCUCAUCUCUGCACAC